AAUAUUGCACAAUGGGCGAAAGCCUGAUGCAGCAACGCCGCGUGAGCGAUGAAGGCCUUUGGGUCGUAAAGCUCUGUCCUUGGGGAAGAAAAAAAUGACGGUACCCUUGGAGGAAGCCCCGGCUAACUACGUGCCAGCAGCCGCGGUAAUACGUAGGGGGCAAGCGUUGUCCGGAAUUAUUGGGCGUAAAGGGUGCGUAGGCGGCCUAUUAAGUCAGAUGUGAAAGACCACAGCUUAACUGUGGGGUUGCAUUUGAAACUGGUGGGCUUGAGUAUCGGAGAGGGUAGUGGAAUUCCAAGUGUAGCGGUGAAAUGCGUAGAUAUUUGGAGGAACACCAGUGGCGAAGGCGACUACCUGGACGAAAACUGACGCUGAGGCACGAAAGCUAGGGGAGCAAAC
rnacentral:rRNA from 1 species